GAUGAACGCUGGCGGCGUGCCUAAUACAUGCAAGUCGAGCGAACGGACGAGAAGCUUGCUUCUCUGAUGUUAGCGGCGGACGGGUGAGUAACACGUGGAUAACCUACCUAUAAGACUGGGAUAACUUCGGGAAGCCGGAGCUAAUACCGGAUAAUAUUUUGAACCGCAUGGUUCAAAAGUGAAAGGCGGUCUUGCUGUCACUUAUAGAUGGAUCCGCGCUGCAUUAGCUAGUUGGUAAGGUAACGGCUUACCAAGGCAACGAUGCAUAGCCGACCUGAGAGGGUGAUCGGCCACACUGGAACUGAGACACGGUCCAGACUCCUACGGGAGGCAGCAGUAGGGAAUCUUCCGCAAUGGGCGAAAGCCUGACGGAGCAACGCCGCGUGAGUGAUGAAGGUCUUCGGAUCGUAAAACUCUGUUAUUAGGGAAGAACAUAUGUGUAAGUAACUGUGCACAUCUUGACGGUACCUAAUCAGAAAGCCACGGCUAACUACGUG
rnacentral:rRNA from 1 species